AAUCAACGCUGGCGGCGUGCCUCAGACAUGCAAGUCGAACGAUUAAACUUCCCUUCGGGGAAGAUAUAAAGUGGCGCACGGGUGAGUAACACGUAAGUAAUCUACCUUCGAGUGGGGAAUAACGUCCGGAAACGGACGCUAAUACCGCAUAAUGCAGCGGCACCUAAUGGUGACAGUUGUUAAAGGAGCAAUUCGCUUGAAGAGGAGCUUGCGGCAGAUUAGCUAGUUGGUAAGGUAACGGCUUACCAAGGCUACGAUCUGUAACCGGUCUAAGAGGACGGUCGGUCACACUGACACUGAAUAACGGGUCAGACUCCUACGGGAGGCAGCAGUCGGGAAUUUUGGGCAGUGGGCGAAAGCCUGACCCAGCAACGCCGCGUGAAGGAUGAAGUAUUUCGGUAUGUAAACUUCGAAAGAAUGGGAAGAAUCAAUGACGGUACCAUUUAUAAGGUCCGGCUAACUACGUGCCAGCCGCCGCGGUAAAAC
rnacentral:rRNA from 1 species